rnacentral:rRNA from 1 species
GACGAACGCUGGCGGCGUGCUUAACACAUGCAAGUCGAACGGAAAGGCCCUGCUUGCAGGGUACUCGAGUGGCGAACGGGUGAGUAACACGCGGGUGAUCUGCCCUGCACUUCGGGAUAAGCCUGGGAAACUGGGUCUAAUACCGGAUAGGAGCCAUCUUUAGGGUGAUGGUUGGAAAGUUUUUUCGGUGUAGGAUGAGCUCCCGGCCUAUCAGCCUGUUGGUGGGGUAAUGGCCUACCAAGGCGGCGACGGGUAGCCGGCCUGAGAGGGUGGACGGCCACAUUGGGGCUGGGGUACGGCCCAGACUCCUACGGGGGGCAGCAGUGGGGAAUAUUGCACAAUGGGCGCGAGCCUGAUGCAGCGACGCCGCGUGGGGGAUGACGGCCUUCGGGUUGUAAACUCCUUUCGCUAGGGACGAAGCUUUUUGUGACGGUACCUAGAUAAGAAGCACCGGCUAACUACGUG